rnacentral:rRNA from 1 species
UUCCGGUUGAUCCUGCCGGAGAUCACUGCUAUCGGAUUGAGAUUAAGUCAUGCAAGUCAAGGCGAUUCGUUCGCCUGGCGAACUGCUCCGUAACGCGUAGAUAAUCUAACCUCAGGUAAAGUAUAAUCCCGGGAAACUGGGCCUAAUCCUUUAUAAGUGCUUAGUUCUGGAAUGGCUUAGCAUUAAAAGCUUCGGCGCCUGAGGAUGAGUCUGCGUCCGAUUAUGCUUGUUGGUGGUGUAACGGACCACCAAGGCGACGAUUGGUACGGGCCGUGAGAGCGGUAGCCCGGAGAUGGCCACUGAGACAACGGGCCAGGCCCUAUGGGGUGCAGCAGGCGCGAAAACUGGCCAAUGCGCGAAAGCAUGAGUCGGUCAAUCCGAGUGUAGACCCAUCGGUUUACUUUUAUCAAGUAUACAACGCUUGGUGAAUAAUGAGAGGGCAAGACUGGUGCCAGCCGCCGCGGUAAAACCAGCUCAUAGAGUGGUGAUCAUGAUUAUUUGGCUUAAAGUGUGCGUAGCAGGGAAUUCUAAGUCCUCUGUGAAAUGUCAGGUCUUAAGCUUGACACGUGCAGAGGAUACUGGAAUCCUUGGGACUGGGAUAGGUGUAAUGUACGGUUUGGGUAGGGGUGAAAUCCGAUAAUCCAAGCCGGACAACCGGUGGCGAAGGCGUUACACUGGAACGGGUCCGACUGUGAGGCACGAAAGCUAGGGUCGCGAGCCGGAUUAGAUACCCGGGUAGUCCUAUGCUGUAAACGAUGCUCAUUAAGUGUUAGGUAAUGCAAGACAUUCUCUAGUGCCGAAGCGAAAGCGUUAAAUGAGCCGCCUGGGAAGUACGUUCGCAAGAAUGAAACUUAAAGGAAUUGGCGGGGGCCUACUACAAGAAGUGGAGCCUGCGGUUUAAUUGGACUCAACUCCGGGAGACUCACCUGGGCCGUAACGUGGAUGAUUGUCCUGUUGAAGACACUGCUUGACGCGUUACUGGAGGUGCAUGGCCAUCGUCAGUUCGUGCCGUGAGGUGUCCUGUUAAGUCAGGCAACGAACGAGAUCCCUACCGUCAAUUGCCAGCGAGACCAACUUGGUCGUCGGGGACAUUGGCGGGACCGCUCGCGAAGAAGUGAGAGGAAGGAAGGGCCAACGGUAGGUCAGUAUGCCCCGAUAUGCCCAGGGCUACACGCGGGCUACAAUGGCUGGUACAGAGGGUUCCAACACCGAAAGGUGACGGCAAUCUCCAAAACCAGUCUCAGUUGGGAUUGUGGGCUGCAACUCGCCCACAUGAACUUGGAAUUUCUAGUAAGUGCACGUCAACACCGUGCACUGAAUACGUCCCUGGGCCUUGCACACACCGCCCGUCGCAGCACGCGAGACGGGCCUGCCAGAGAUUACAGCUUAUACUGUACUCGAUGGUCGGUUCGUUGAGCAGGCUGAAGUCGUAACAAGGUAGCC